GGAGUUAGCCGGUGCUUCUUCUGUGAGUGAUGUCCUUCCUGCCGGCUAUUAACCCGCAGGCCUUCUUCCUCACUGAAAGUGCUUUACAACCCGAAGGCCUUCUUCACACACGCGGCAUGGCUGGAUCAGGGUUGCCCCCAUUGUCCAAUAUUCCCCACUGCUGCCUCCCGUAGGAGUCUGGGCCGUGUCUCAGUCCCAGUGUGGCUGAUCAUCCUCUCAGACCAGCUACGGAUCGUCGCCUUGGUGAGCCGUUACCUCACCAACCAGCUAAUCCGACAUAGGCUCAUCCGAUAGCGCGAGGCCCGAAGGUCCCCCGCUUUCCCCCGUAGGGCGUAUGCGGUAUUAGCCUGGGUUUCCCCAGGUUAUCCCCCACUACCGGGCAGAUUCCUAUGCAUUACUCACCCGUCCGCCGCUCGCCACCAGGGAGCAAGCUCCCCGUGCUGCCGCUCGACUUGCAUGUGUUAGGCCUGCCGCCAGCGUUCAAUCUGAGCCAGUAGACUACAACUCGUACGA
rnacentral:rRNA from 1 species